rnacentral:rRNA from 1 species
UACGUAGGGUGCAAGCGUUGUCCGGAAUUAUUGGGCGUAAAGAGCUCGUAGGCGGUCUGUUGCGUCGGCUGUGAAAACCCGGGGCUCAACUCCGGGCCUGCAGCCGAUACGGGCAGACUUGAGUUCGGCAGGGGAGACUGGAAUUCCUGGUGUAGCGGUGAAAUGCGCAGAUAUCAGGAGGAACACCGGUGGCGAAGGCGGGUCUCUGGGCCGAUACUGACGCUGAGGAGCGAAAGCGUGGGGAGCGAACAGG